UGUUUUAAUAGCUUAUAGAGAGUGUGAUAUUGAAGAUAUUAAGGAAGUAAAUUUACUUUAAAACAU
rnacentral:tRNA from 1 species